CCUACGGGUGGCAGCAGUGGGGAAUAUUGCGCAAUGGGGGAAACCCUGACGCAGCCAUGCCGCGUGAGUGACGAAGGCCUUAGGGUUGUAAAGCUCUUUCGCUAGGGAAGAUAAUGACGGUACCUAGUAAAGAAGCCCCGGCUAACUCCGUGCCAGCAGCCGCGGUAAUACGGAGGGGGCUAGCGUUGUUCGGAAUCACUGGGCGUAAAGCGCGCGUAGGCGGAUUGAUUAGUUGGGGGUGAAAUCCCGGGGCUCAACCUCGGAACUGCCUUCAAUACUGUCAGUCUUGAGUUCGUGAGAGGUAAGUGGAAUUCCGAGUGUAGAGGUGAAAUUCGUAGAUAUUCGGAAGAACACCAGUGGCGAAGGCGACUUACUGGCACGAUACUGACGCUGAGGUGCGAAAGCGUGGGGAGCAAACAGGAUUAGAUACCCUAGUAGUC
rnacentral:rRNA from 1 species